rnacentral:rRNA from 1 species
UACCAGCACCCCGAGUGGUCGGGACGAUUAUUGGGCCUAAAGCAUCCGUAGCCGGUCCUACAAGUCUUCCGUUAAAUCCACCUGCCUAACAGAUGGGCUGCGGAAGAUACUAUAGGGCUAGGAGGCGGGAGAGGCAAGCGGUACUCAGUGGGUAGGGGUAAAAUCCUCUGAUCCAUUGAAGACCACCAGUGGCGAAGGCGGCUUGCCAGAACGCGCUCGACGGUGAGGGAUGAAAGCUGGGGGAGCAAACCGG